rnacentral:rRNA from 1 species
UAUUAAAGCUAACGGCGGAUGCCUUGGCAAUGUAAGCCGAAGAAGGACGUGUGUAUGAGCACGAUAUCAUCGAUGAGCCCUCAGACAGGCAUUAUCAAUCGGUGGUUUCCGAAUGGGACAACCCCGGUCGUAGCAAUACGACUGACCUUUCUAAUUUAUUAGAUUGGAGGGAACCCGGUGAACUGAAACAUCUAAGUAACCGGAGGAAAAGAAAUCAAUAGAGAUUCUGUGAGUAGCGGCGAGCGAAAGCGGAGGAGCCUAAACCCUAAUCAAGUAUAGGGUGUUGCGGGACAGACAAUAUGGGAUCAUAAGUUGUUAGACAAACGUUCUGGAAAGGACGGCCAUAGAAGGUGACAGCCCUGUAGUCGAAAAUAACUUGUGCCUUAGUCUGAUUCCCAAGUACCACGAGGCACGGCAAACCUUGUGGGAAACUGGGGCGGUCAUGCUCCAAGGCUAAAUACUUACAUUGACCGAUAGUGAACAAGUACCGCGAGGGAAAGGUGAAAAGUCCCCCGGUGAGGGGAGUGAAAUAGUACCUGAAACCGUUAGCUAACAAGCAGACAGGGUCUCGACGCAAGUCGGGAUGAUGUCGUGCCUAUUGAAGAAUGAGCCAGCGAGUUUUUGACGGCUGCAAGGUUAACCAAUCUGAGUUGGGAAGCCGCAGCGAAAGCGAGUCUGAAUAGGGCGUUCAGUAGCUGUCAAAAGACCCGAAACUAGGUGAGCUAACCAUGAGCAGGGUGAACCUUGUCGAAAGACAGGGGGAGGCCCGCACUCGUUGUCGGUGAAAUGACUUGGGAUGACUUGUGGUUAGCGGUAAUAUGCCUAUCGAUCCUUGAGAUAGCUGGUACUCCCCGAGAUAUAUUUAGGUAUAGCCAUUUCGAGUAAGGUGGGGGGUAGAGCACUGGAU